UGGGGAAUAUUGCACAAUGGGCGCAAGCCUGAUGCAGCCAUGCCGCGUGUAUGAAGAAGGCCUUCGGGUUGUAAAGUACUUUCAGCGGGGAGGAAGGGAGUAAAGUUAAUACCUUUGCUCAUUGACGUUACCCGCAGAAGAAGCACCGGCUAACUCCGUGCCAGCAGCCGCGGUAAUACGGAGGGUGCAAGCGUUAAUCGGAAUUACUGGGCGUAAAGCGCACGCAGGCGGUUGAUUGAGUCAGAUGUGAAAUCCCCGGGCUUAACCCGGGAAUUGCAUCUGAUACUGGUCAGCUAGAGUCUUGUAGAGGGGGGUAGAAUUCCAUGUGUAGCGGUGAAAUGCGUAGAGAUCUGGAGGAAUACCGGUGGCGAAGGCGGCCCCCUGGACAAAGACUGACGCUCAGGUGCGAAAGCGUGGGGAGCAAACAGG
rnacentral:rRNA from 1 species